UGUAAUAUGUUUGUUCCAACCAAUAAUAUAUAGUGAGCAUAAGGAGCUAAUGAGAAGAACUAGCGCACAUGGCAUUGAUAAGCGUCAUAGGGAGCAUUUUGUUGGGUGGUUUGAACGUAAGGUGAGUAAUGUUGUCAUAUGCAUGUUAAAAAAAUAGCAAUUGUCUUAUUUAUUUAUUUGAAUUGAGUGCAGAUGAAGGUAGUUUAUGCAAAACGAAAGAUUAGUGAUGAGC
rnacentral:lncRNA from 1 species